UGAUUGUUUCUUUAGAAGGAUGCCGGUGU
rnacentral:piRNA from 1 species